rnacentral:rRNA from 1 species
UCAGCAGCCGCGGUAAUACGGAGGGUGCAAGCGUUGUUCGGAUUUACUGGGCGUAAAGAGCGUGUAGGCGGUUUAGUAAGUCAGAUGUGAAAGCCCUGGGCUCAACCCGGGAAGUGCAUUUGAAACUGCUUCACUAGAGUAUGGGAGAGGAGAUUGGAAUUCCUGGUGUAGAGGUGAAAUUCGUAGAUAUCAGGAGGAACACCCGUGGCGAAGGCGAUUCUCUGGACCAAUACUGACGCUGAGACGCGAAAGCGUGGGGAGCAAACAGGAUUAGAUACCCUGGUAGUCCACGCCGUAAACGAUGAGAACUAGGUGUAGUGGGUAUUGACCCCUGCUGUGCCGAAGUUAACGCAUUAAGUUCUCCGCCUGGGGAGUACGGCCGCAAGGCUAAAACUCAAAGGAAUUGACGGGGGCCCGCACAAGCGGUGGAGCAUGUGGUUUAAUUCGACGCAACGCGAAGAACCUUACCUGGGUUUGACAUCCUCUGACCGUCUGGGAAACCAGAUUUUUCCGGCUUUGUCGGAACAGAGUGACAGGUGCUGCAUGGCUGUCGUCAGCUUGUGUCGUGAGAUGUUGGGUUAAGUCCCGCAACGAGCGUAACCCUUGUCUUUAGUUGCCAUUAUUAAGUUAGGCACUCUAAAGAGACUGCCUCGGUUAACGGGGAGGAAGGUGGGGAUGACGUCAAGUCCUCAUGGCCUUUAUAUCCAGGGCUACACACGUGCUACAAUGGGCUGUACAAAGGGUUGCUAUCCCGCGAGGGGGCGCUAAUCCCAAAAAGCAGUUCUCAGUUCGGAUUGAAGUCUGCAACUCGACUUCAUGAAGGUGGAAUCGCUAGUAAUCGUGGAUCAGCAUGCCACGGUGAAUACGUUCCCGGGCCUUGUACACACCGCCCGUCA